rnacentral:rRNA from 1 species
UGAGGAAUAUUGGUCAAUGGGCGAGAGCCUGAACCAGCCAAGUAGCGUGCAGGAUGACGGCCCUAUGGGUUGUAAACUGCUUUUAUAUGGGAAUAAAGUGAGGGACGUGUCCCUUAUUGCAUGUACCAUAUGAAUAAGGACCGGCUAAUUACGUGCCAGCAGCCGCGGUAAUACGUAAGGUCCGAGCGUUGUCCGGAAUCAUUGGGCGUAAAGGGUACGUAGGCGGGUAAGCAAGUUAGAAGUGAAAUCCUGUAGCUCAACUACAGUAAGCUUUUAAAACUGCUCAUCUUGAGAUAUGGAAGGGAAAGUGGAAUUCCUAGUGUAGCGGUGAAAUGCGCAGAUAUUAGGAGGAAUACCGGUGGCGAAGGCGACUUUCUGGCCAUAAUCUGACGCUGAGGUACGAAAGCGUGGGUAGCAAACAGG